rnacentral:rRNA from 1 species
AUGAACGUUGGCGGCGUGGAUUAGGCAUGCAAGUCGGACGCUCCGCAAGGGGCGUGGCGCAAGGGUUGAGUAAGGCGACGGCAACCUACCCCAAGGUCGGGCCAUAGCUGAGGGAAACCUCGGGUAAUUCCCGGCGGGGCACGAUGGGGGCAUCCCCUACGUGCUAAAGGUGUGAAUCCGCCUUGGGACGGGCCGUCGUGGUAUUAGGUGGUUGGCGGGGUCAUGGCCCACCAAGCCUAGGAUGCCUACCGGGGCGUGGCGAAGCGUGGCCCGGCACACUGGGACUGAGACACUGCCCAGACUCCUACGGGAGGCUGCAGUCGAGAAUCUUCGGCAAUGGGCGCAAGCCUGACCGAGCGACGCCGCGUGGGGGAUGAAGGCCCUUGGGUUGUAAACCCCUGUCGAGGGGGAGGAAGGGCCGGCGCAGAAGCCGGUCUUGACCGAUCCCUGGAGGAAAGCACGGGCCUUAAGUUCGUGCCAGCAGCCGCGGUAAGACGAACCGUGCGAAACGUUAUUCGGAAUCCACUGGGCUUUAAAAAGCGCGUGUAGGCGGCCCGGCACGUCCCGACGCUGAAAAGGCCCCCGGCUCAACCGGGGAACAGGCGGCGGAUACGACCGGGCUGGAGGCAGGUUAGGGGGCGCCGGGAACUUCCGGUGGAGCGGUGAAAUGCGUUGAGAUCGGAGGAACGCCCGUGGCCGAAAAGCGGGCGCGCCUGGACCCUCGCCUGACGCUGAGACGCGAAAGCCAGGGGAGAGCGAACGGGAUUAGGUACCCCCGGUAGUCCUGGCCGUAAACCAUGGGCACUGGGUAGGGGAUUCGCCGAUGGAUUCCCUGCCGCAGCGAAAAGCGGUGAAAGUGCCCCGCCUGGGGGAGUAUGGUCCGCAAGGCUGAAACUCAAAGGAAAUCGACGGGGGCUCACAACAAGCGGUGGAGCAUGUGGCUUAAUUCGAGGCUACGCGCAGAACCUUAUCCCGGGCUUGACAUGCACGGAUUACGUGGCGGAAAACGUCACGGAAGGCCGCAAGGUACAAACGUGCACAGGUGCUGCAUGGCUGUCGUCAGCUCGUGUCGUGAGAUGUUGGGUUAAGUCCCGUAACGAGCGAACCCCUGCCCCUUGUUGGCCAGCACAUCAUGGUGGGCACUCUAGGGGGACCGCCGGUGUUAAAAAACCGGAGGAAGGCGGGGACGACCGUCAAGUUCCUCAUGGCCCUUAUGCCCGGGGGCUGCACACGUUGCUACAAUGGGCCGGACAAAGGGCGCCGCCAACGCGCAAGCGGGAGCUAAUCGCAAAAAAACCGGUCCCCAGUUCGGAUUGCGGGCUGCAACCCGCCCCGCAUGAAGCCGGAAAUCGCUAGUAAUCGCCGAUCAGCACUGCGGCCGGGUGAAUGGGUUUCCUGAGCCUUGUACACACCGCCCGUCAAGCCACCAAAAGCGGGGGGCACCCCGAAGUCGCCUGUGCCGCAAGGCAAGCGCCGAAGGUGAAACCCGUGAUGGGGACU